rnacentral:pre_miRNA from 1 species
CAAAUGCUUCUUCCGUCCGAAAUUACUUGUCAUAGAAAUGGAUAUAUGUAGACGUAUUUUAGUUUUAAGAUUUAAAUACAUUCAAAAAAAUUUCUAUUUUGACGACAAAUAAUUCUGGACGGAGGAAGUACAAA